UACGAAGGGGGCUAGCGUUGUUCGGAAUUACUGGGCGUAAAGCGCGCGCAGGCGGUCUUCCAAGUCAGUGGUGAAAGCCCGGAGCUCAACUCCGGAACUGCCAUUGAAACUGUUAGACUUGAGGACGAGAGAGGUGAGUGGAAUUCCCAGUGUAGAGGUGAAAUUCGUAGAUAUUGGGAAGAACACCGGUGGCGAAGGCGGCUCACUGGCUCGUAUCUGACGCUCAGGCGCGACAGCGUGGGGAUCGAAACAGG
rnacentral:rRNA from 1 species